AUGUCGGUGUUCGGGAAGCUGUUAGGGGCUGGAGGGGGUAAGGCCAGCAAGGGCGGCCCAACCCCCCAGGAGGCCAUCCAGCCGCUCCGGGACACGGAGGAGAUGUUAAGCAAGAAGCAGGAGUUCCUGGAGAAGAAGAUCGAGCAGGAACUGAUGGCCGCUAAGAAGCAUGGCACCAAAAACAAGCACGCGGCCCUCCAGGCACUGAAGCGCACGAAGAGGUAUGAGAAGCAGCUGGCACAGAUUGAUGGCACGUUAUCAACCAUCGAGUUCCAGCAGGAGGCCCUGGAGAACGCCAACACCAACAUGAGGUGCUCAAGAACAUGGGCUAUGCGGCCAAGGCCAUGAAGGCUGCCCACCACAACAUGGACAUCGAUAAAGUUGAUGAGUUAAUGCAGGACAUUGCUGACCAGCAGGAACUUGCAGAGGAGAUUUCAACAGCAAUUUCAAAACCUGUAGGGUUUGGAGAAGAGUUUGACGAGGAUGAACUCAUGGCAGAAUUAGAAGAACUAGAACAGGAGGAACUAGACAAGAAUCUGCUGGAAAUCAGUGGACCCGAAACAGUCCCUCUACCAAAUGUUCCCUCUAUAGCCCUACCAUCAAAACCCGCCAAGAAGAAGGAGGAGGAGGACGACGACAUGAAGGAAUUAGAGAACUGGGCUGGAUCCAUGUAACCCGGCCAGUGCGGGCUGGGCCCAGACAGACUCUGAUGGCCUGCGCAGUGGGCAGGCGCGUGUGUGUGCGGGGCAGGCAGGACGUGGUGCAGGCAGG